UAUAAGCCAAAUCUUAGCCCAAAAAUCAUUUUAACAUUCGGUUUUAAAAAAAAAAUAAACGAAAUCCUCUGAAAGAGGAUUCGAGGGCUGAUUCCAGUGCUGUUGAACCUCCGUUCAGGAGUUUUCUCAUGCGCUCAUGCGCCACCACGCACGGUGGUCGGAGGGUCAAAACCUUCCCCCUUUUCAGCGAAAGUCAGGUAAUCUCUUUUACUUUUCACUAUUUGUAAUAUAUGUUAAAAUAUUCACCUUUGUAUUCGAUUGGCUACUGGUAUUGUAAGUCGAUAUUACUGUGCUCUGUUGAAUUUGUUUGUAUAUUUCUCUCUUCGUAAAUCGUGUGUAUAUUAUUGUCUUUGUAAAAAAUCGGGAUCCCUUUUACAAUGAAGGUAUUCGGGCUUUAUAGCCACUGUUUACAGUGUAUUUACAUCUUUAUUUUACUUCCUUGCCAUAUUUGUUGGUUCUGCUCCCUCUUGUUUCCUUUUGCAGGCGAUCGAAGAGAAGAAAGGGCACUGAUCAUGGCGUCGAUUUGCGUCUCAACGAGAUACAGGGCCUGGAAUCACGGCACCUAUGAAGGGUAGCUGAAACGACGCAAGGUGAAACGACGUGACUGAAGAAGCGUUGAUGGGGGCAUGAUCGAUGGUGGCCUUGAUUCGGAAGCUGGACAGACGCUCCCCGAAUCUUCUAGAAGCAGUGACGACUCAAGGAGGAAAAGGCAGAAACCCUAGCGUUUCCUGCCUUAAUGUAAUAGUUUGGGCCAAUUGGGCCACUUUAGUUCUGGGCUAGGUAGGGUGUAAUGGGUACCGGGUAAUUAGCUGGGUUUUGGGUUUGGGUUUUAACUUUUGGGCUGUAAAAGGACUGUUUAAUAAAUAAACAUUUAUUUAUUAUUUUUUUGUUUUCAAUUUUAAAGCUCGGGCAAAUUUUGGUUAUUACAAGUGAUAAACCAAUUUUAUGUAAAAAAUUCAUAUAAAAUAACAAUAAAGCUUUGGUUGAAAUGAUAAAAUUAAAGUUUAAGUUGAUUGAUGUC
rnacentral:lncRNA from 1 species